rnacentral:rRNA from 1 species
UACGUAGGUUGCGAGCGUUGUCCGGAUUUACUGGGCGUAAAGCGCGCGCAGGUGGUCCUGAAAGUCGAGCGUGAAAGCUCCCGGCCCAACUGGGAGAGGCCGUUCGAAACUUCAGGACUUGAAGGCGGGAGAGGCAAAUGGAAUUUCCGGUGUAGCGGUAAAAUGCGUAGAUACCGGAAGGAACACCAGUGGCGAAAGCGAUUUGCUGGCCCGCCCUUGACACUCAGGCGCGAAAGCUAGGGGAG